rnacentral:rRNA from 1 species
UCGGGAAUUUUGGGCAAUGGGGGAAACCCUGACCCAGCAACGCCGCGUGAAGGAUGAAGUAUUUCGGUAUGUAAACUUCGAAAGAAUAGGAAGAAUAAAUGACGGUACUAUUUAUAAGGUCCGGCUAACUACGUGCCAGCAGCCGCGGUAAUACGUAGGGACCAAGCGUUGUUCGGAUUUACUGGGCGUAAAGGGUGCGUAGGCGGUCAUGUAGGUCUGAUGUGAAAUCCCACGGCUCAACCGUGGAACUGCGUUGGAAACCCCAUGGCUGGAGUAGGACAGAGGUGAGCGGAACAGAUGGUGGAGCGGUGAAAUGCGUUGAUAUCAUCUGGAACACCGGUGGCGAAAGCGGCUCACUGGGUCCUAACUGACGCUGAUGCACGAAAGCGUGGGGAGCAAACAGGAUUAGAUACCCCGGUAGUCCCUGAGCGGGCUGGCAAGGCGCAU